CUCAUCCCUCACCAUGUUAGCUGUGAUUUUAGACUCUGGGAAAGUCACACGGCACCACAUCACUGCUCAGGCUCCAAAUUCCUGAACGAGUUUCAACCUGCUAAAAGGGUCAUCAUCUCUAGAGCCUGGCUCUCUCUCCAGAACGCGUCUCCCUUAAUUCUCUCUGCUCGCAACUCAGGAGUCGAUGUGGGAGCGUCCACAAGUGGGAAGAGCCCACCCAUCAAGCCCCAGCCUGAACAUAAGGUGAAGGUGCGUUCAGUGAGCCAGAGAACUUGCCUGCAGCGAACCUCCAGCACCACACGCAGGAGGUGCUGCAGGAGGGCUCACCUUUGGAGGCAACGUCACCUUCUGACUGUACUCUCCAGAGACAUCCCACCACACCACACAGUGCCUCUCAUCUUUCCCGUUUUCUUCCUGUAAUAUUCUCAGACAGAGUCAGGUAAACCUGACACUCACUCGCAGGAAUUUCCAUAGAGCCCCUGGGCAGAGAAAAGAAGCAGUGCUCUGCUGAGACCUUCCUCUGGACUGCAUCUGGUUUCUCGAGAACCACUCUGUCACUGGGGUGUAGAGGAGCAAGGGACCUGGGGAAGGUCCCCUGGACAUCAGGAGGCUCAUCUCACAGUGGCUGAGCUCCCACAGCCAUCACAUGACACCAUUUGCGAGUAGAUGAUGUAAAUGGUUUCAACACCCAAGGUUUUUAGGGAGUCACCCCGGCCCAUUGGCCCUAUUGUAUGCACGGCAUUCUCCGCCUUUCCCCCCAGCCUUUAUUGAAGGAGCUACGGGGUGGUCAGCACGUUUGAGACUUUAAAUCUGAGAUCUAGUCUUUCAUGAAUUCAUGGCAUGUCUGCCAAAUCAAAUGCAAAACUGUCCACAGGCACAUCCACUUGACUUUGACCAGACUAGACUAUUCACUGCUCCCUAAACUUGCUCUAUGCUUUGCUGCCUCUGUGGUGGCUCCUGGGGAGAAGAGUUGUGUCUGAGUCUCUGCUCCAGCCCAUGAACCCGAUGGAGUCCUGUAACUCCCGGUGAGUCCCUCAGGCCCAACUCUUAUCCCUUCUUUGCACACCUCCCCUUGCCUUUCUAUCGAUAUCCCCCCUUUAUUUCCUAUAGUGGAUGAAGUACAAUAUCAAAUAAAGUGUUCACAAUACA